CCUACGGGAGGCAGCAGUGGGGAAUUUUGGACAAUGGGCGCAAGCCUGAUCCAGCCAUGCCGCGUGCAGGAUGAAGGCCUUCGGGUUGUAAACUGCUUUUGUACGGAACGAAAAGACUCUGGUUAAUACCUGGGGUCCAUGACGGUACCGUAAGAAUAAGCACCGGCUAACUACGUGCCAGCAGCCGCGGUAAUACGUAGGGUGCGAGCGUUAAUCGGAAUUACUGGGCGUAAAGCGUGCGCAGGCGGUUAUAUAAGACAGAUGUGAAAUCCCCGGGCUCAACCUGGGAACUGCAUUUGUGACUGUAUAGCUAGAGUACGGCAGAGGGGGAUGGAAUUCCGCGUGUAGCAGUGAAAUGCGUAGAUAUGCGGAGGAACACCGAUGGCGAAGGCAAUCCCCUGGGCCUGUACUGACGCUCAUGCACGAAAGCGUGGGGAGCAAACAGGAUUAGAUACCCUGGUAGUCCACGCCCUAAACGAUGUCAACUGGUUGUUGGGUCUUCACUGACUCAAUAACGAAGCUAACGCGUGAAGUUGACCGCCUGGGGAAGUACGGCCGCAAGGUUGAAACUUAAAGGAAUUGACGG
rnacentral:rRNA from 1 species